rnacentral:rRNA from 1 species
AACGAACGCUGGCGGCAGGCUUAAUACAUGCAAGUCGAGCGGGCACUUCGGUGUCAGCGGCGCACGGGUGCGUAACGCGUGGGAACAUGCCUUUAGGUACGGAACAACCAAGGGAAACUUUGGCUAAUACAGUAUAAUAUCUCUGGAUCAAAGAUUUAUCGCCUAAAGAUUGGCCCGCGUUAGAUUAGGUAGUUGGGGGGGUAAUGGCCUACCAAGCCGACGAUCUAUAGGGGGUCUGAGAGGAUGGUCCCCCACACUGGAACUUAGACACGGUACAGACUCCUACGGGAGGCAUCAGUAAGGAAUAUUGGACAAUGGGCGAAAGCCUGAUCCAGCCAUGCCGCGUGAGUGAUGAAGUCCUUAGGGUUGUAAAGCUCUUUUAGAUGGGAAGAUAAUGACUGUACCAUCAGAAUAAGCCCCGGCUAAAUUCGUG